rnacentral:sRNA from 1 species
GCUCUAUGGUCGGGUUGUUGUCGCUUUGACACAUCCCCCAUUUCUUUUCUUAAUUUUAUGAUAACACAUAACUCUGAAAGAAUAGAUGACAUGGAUAUGUAGUUGUAGAAUUAUUCAUUAAAUUGAGAAAGGAAAUGGGGAAUGUGUCAAAGCGACAACAACCCGACCACAGAG